GAUCAGUUCUCUCUAUUUAUUGUUAAUUUCAUGAAAAAUGAUCUUUUAUAGUAAUUUUAGCCUAAACCAGCCUAGACUUUCAAAACAAAUCUUAUCAAGAUUCUAAAAUUGCACCUUCUGAGUUCAUAAUAAAUGUAUGCAUAAAGUCUGUCAAGUUCAAAAUUUAGCAGUAGCACUGUAUAAUAAUACCUUACAUUUUGCGUAAUGCACAUAACUAACAGUAAGUUAGAUC